GGGGUCCGGCUCCGGUCUGGCAGCCGCGGGAGGGCGGAGGUGGGUGGGGACUAGCGGAGCUUUUACGAGAAGUCACCGUGGGGGGUGAGGGGGGAAGAGGGUGAAAACCACCCUGCGGAGCUGUCGGGCAGGGAGGAAACCCGCUGCCCCAGAGCCACGUGCUGAAGCCGACAGUGGGUGGCAGUCACUGGACCGCCCCUGAGUGGCUCGGGAGGGGUUGGGGAGGAGGAGGCCCUUGCUGGGAAAGGCCCCUGGCCAAGGGAGAAAAAGAACCGCUGGUAGACACCGUGGGCCCCAGGGCACCAGGGAACAUUUAUGUCUGGAUAAUUUGGCCCAGUUCCCUUUGAUGGGAGAAGCUCCGGCCAAGCCUGGGGGCCAGCCCUGCCUGCUCGGGGUUCAGCCUGGAGACACGCACUGGCUUAACUCUGGAGGCUCCCCACCCCUCCACCUCACACCCUUCAAAGAGGAUGUAUGUUCUAGGGUAAAGGAGUUUGAGAGCCUCAGUAAGUCGAGGGAGGGGAGGUGGUGGUCCAGUGAAGUGAGCGUGGCUGUAGGAAGAAGGAAGGAAGCAUAAAAAGAGGGGAAAAGAAUUUUAAGAACAUGCAAAGGACAUAACUGGAGUCCUUGGAAAGGUUUCCCUGCCCAUGUCAGACAGGAAGGAAGGGAGAGAGGAGCCAGGAGGACAGAACAGCAGACCUCCACCGGCGACGGAUCUCCUCCCUUCCCACCAUCCCACCUCAUCCACCGUCCCGUGACCCUCAGGAUGAGCAAGACACGACUGUCAUUGCUGUGAGGUGUCCUUUAUUGCCUGACUUAAGGGAGCGGUAUCAGACAGAAGACGGUGGAACAUUCUCCACUCUAAGGUGUGUCCGGCUUGGGGCAGGGGUUGGUGGAGAAGGCCCUUCCAACGCUGCGGUGCCCUGACUUGUCAGGACCAAGGGGAGUCAUGGCAUGCUCGGAGAGGGCCCAACAGCUGUGCAAUUAGCCAGCUCAUCAGUAGGUGAAAUUCGACACUGCAAAGAGGCAAUAAUUCACGGUAUUAGUCCACACUUGUUUCUUCCGGAGUUGGUCAUAGGUUCCUAGGUAAGCCAUCCUAAGAAUGAAAUACCUGUCUACGUGUGGGAGCAAUGAGAAAAAAGAAGCAAGAAGAACAGCAGCUGUGAAGUUGUGCAUCUCACCUUCUGGAAAGGGUCAUGUUCCCUUUCUACGCCUUCAUACGGAUGACUUCAGGGUGCCCUCCACCUGACCCCCGCUUUGCGGGAAGGAGAGCAAAAGGAGAUGGAAGAUGAUGAAAGAUGGAAGGAAGAAAAGCUCCCCGGCCAGCACUCAGGGAAAGGAGGUGCUUUUGGUCCCGUUUUAACAGAAGGUGAAACUGAGGCUCAGAGAGGUUAUGGAGCUUUCCUCAGGUCACACACCACCUCGGGUCACUGUUCCUCCUCCUCAGCACCUCACAGCAGUAAGGUGACAAGAAACUUUCAGCUCCUCCAAGUCUCCAGAAACAUCCAGCCAACACAAUGUCUUCUGGUUGCAGUGUAGAUUUCAGAGCCACUCUGCUUGGUUCAAAUCCUGGCUCUGAAAUAAUCAGACUUGGGCACAUUACUGAAUCCCUCUCUGCCUCAGAUCCCUUUCCUCUGGCGUGGGGAUAAGAGCAUCUACUGCCUAGAGUUGUUGUGAGGAUUAUAAUGGUAAGUCACGAAAAAGUUAACAUAGCACCUGGCACACGGUAGGAACUAUGUAAGUGUUAGCAGCUAUCGUUGUUAUUGCUGUAAUGAUUACUGCCUCUCCCCUUCCCUUUCCUGUCACAUCUCCAGCCCAGUCUUUUUCAUGUACUGUCCGUCCAAAGCCUUGGCAGGCUGGCUCAGCAGAAGUAUGCUUAGAGGGUGAUGUGCGUGGGUUGGAAGGCUUCAGACUAAUGGACCUGUGCCUGAGGUUUGAGAAAUGUGUGGGGACCCCUACAGAUGAUUCUCAGAGGGGGAGGAGCAAGCUGGCCUCCGCUGUACUGGAAUGAAAGACCGCCUGCCUGUAGCAACGGAGAGCCUCCUGGUAGUGAGAGCUUCUGCUUUAGGUCCAGACAGUUCGGUUUAGAGGAAAACCAGUCAGGCAAGGGACCACUGAGUGUGUCAGGGUGGAGGCCGCAAUCUGGAAACUUACACAACAAGACUCUAGUGGGUUGACUGCUGGCUCCGCAUGUCCAUGUCCCAGCCCCUCAAACUGUGAAUGUGACCUUAUUUUGGAAAAGGGUCUUUGCAAACGUAAUUAAGAAUCCCAACAUGAGAUUAUUCUGGAUUAUCCAGGUAUGUCUUAAAUCAAUGACAAGUGUCCUUAUAAGAGCAGCAAAGGAGAAUGUACAGAUCCAGAGGAGAGAGGGUCAUGUGAGGUCAGAAGCAGAGCUGGGAGUUAUGCAGCUGAAACCCGAAGAAAGCCUGGAGCCCCCAGAAGCUGGACGAGGUACGGAAGGGAGGCUUGGGAGUGAAUGCGGUCCCGCGGGCACCUCCGCUUUGGGUUUCUGGCUCCCAUAACUGUGAGUGAAUGCAUUUCUGUUGUUUUAAGCCACUCAGUUUAUGGUCAUUUGCUGCAGUUGGUCCAACUGCAUGCCCUCUUCCCUUCCAGAAAGGCAAAGAUAAGGGGGCAUGGUCUGAAGUGCGGCGGACAGAGAGAAGUCAACCUCGAGGGCUCUGUGGAGGACUCUCAUCAGGGCUGCUGCACGUGAUGGUGCAGCUUGCACACUGCUCAACAGUGUGCCAUUUACAGCAUGGUUGUGGAUGCGAAUAUUUAUUGCUAUUUUUUCCUGCAGGGGUCGGUACGGUGUCUUGAGGAAGGGGUGCCUUUUCCUAAAAUGCGCAAAACAUCUCUUUGGCUUUGUUACGUUUGGCUUAAAAAGGCACAUGUGGCUGGCGGUUACCAUAUUGAACACACUGCUCUAGGACAAGAAAAUGGAAGCUCAGGACUGCUUGAUACAAAAUGUAGUGACCAGAAGCGUGACAACUAUUCAUCUGACAUUGUUCAGAGAACCCCUGUGACUGCACCUCUUAUCGAGUGACAGUGAGGGGUCACACGUGAACCGAGGCGGCGGUGGAGGUGGUGGCAUGCAGCGAGGGGUGUCGGAGGGUGUGAGAAAUGCCCCCUGGAUCCGAGCAAGGUCCACCAGCAACAGGAUGAAGAGAGAAUGGCCCAAGCAGGUCAGAGAUUGCUCUCCAGUUUGCUGGGUUUCUCCUCUUCGUCACCCUUUAUGAAGCUGUCAGUCAUGAAGUUAGUUUGUUAGAACCUAUUUGUUUUCAUCUCUCAAUUUGAAAUAAUGAACAUUUAUAUGGGGAUACGCAGAGAUGGGCAGGGGCGCCAGUCCAGGGGCUCUUGGCCUUGGGGUUACUCUCUCCUUGAGAGGGGGCUUUUUGGGAACAGGUCUGUUUAAGCUCCCAGUUAACUCUGCUACAGGAAGGCGGGAGCCUUCCCUUUCUCUGCCGCCCCGCGAUGCCCGAGUAAGCUGCACAUGUUUUAACUGCCAGAGGGCAAGACAUUUACUCAGUGUGGCUUCAUCCCUUGACUCCUCAAGACUUCUCUGAGGUGGGAAUUGAGAUCUACGAUGUCAUUUGGUGAUUGUCACACUCUCCAGUGUCAUAGACAAGCAAUGAGAGUGGAUUUACUGGAGACUGUCAGGGUUAAGUCCUAGCCAGGCAGCGAGGGCCUGGCUACUCGGGCCCUGUUAGCCUCACCUGAGAGCUUGUUUGAAAGGCAGACUCCGACCUGCCCACACCUGUGGAAUCAAGACUUUGUGGCAACGGAAUCUCCAGGUGAAUUCAGUGCUCAGCAAAGCUUGAAGAGCUAGAACUGAGCUAGAACAAGGCCCAUUACCCAGCAUUGAUUUAAGGGACUUGUCUUGACUUAGUCAACAGAACUGAACUGACUUUGCCGUUUCAGAAUUUUGUUGGCUUCACCUCCCUGGAGAAACUUCCAAUAAAACAUAAAUCUGCCAAAAUGCUUUUUGAACACAAUUAUCCCAAUGGAAUCCCCUUCCUGACGCGGCUGUUCCGAAAGCUGCGGGCCAAAUGUGUUCCACAUUCCGGUCUUUGGGUGGGUGACCCUUUGGGAGUCGGGUUGGAUCGGGAACCUCCUUCCUGGCUCUGCCUCUGUGCCCACUUUUCCUGCCCCACCUGAAAGGACGUGCCCUGUCCCAUGGAGAACUGUAGUAUCUCCGCCCUCACCCAGUGGCUUCCCCACACCGAAGCCUGGAAGGGAAGUGGUCCCACUCAGGAUUUUCUGGAGGCGUCCAGCAGCCUAUGGCGGAUAUCAAAAAAGCAGAGGAGCCGACUCUAAAGAGCUUAAAGAGACAGCAUCACACAAUUACAAAGUGUUAUUAGCAAGUCCACAACAUCAUACAGCAAGAGAUGCAGCUGUUUAAAAUGAUAAUUUUCUUAAGAGAUUAUUUAUUGAACAAAUAGUAAGGUAUAAAAUAGAAUCUUAGUGUCUUCUCUUUUUUAAAAAAAAAUAAAAAUAUAUCUAUAAGCAUAGAAAAAGCAAUGUCUAGUUAGAUCUGUUCCAAAAUCUAUGUUUUCAAUGCUCUUUAGCCAUAGGGGACACGUCCAUAGUUGGAUUUCUCGGCUCGUUGCAGUGAGAGAGAGUGCCCGGCAUGGGCGAAGCAGGGCGUCUCAAUCGUAGAAUACUGGAAGGGGCUCGUGUCAGGUCUGGCCUUCUGGCUGGCACUUUGGAGGAUAGUUCAAGCAAGCAGGGCUUUGCUCUGGAUUGGACACUGCCAGCAAGCAGGGGCAAUUUUUUGUUUGGAUAAUUCUUAAUAAUUACUACCAAGGUGAAUGGAAUAAGGCUAUAAUUGGUAAAAAUACAAACAAAAACAAUGGUCACCCAUUAGCCAGGAUAGCAGGAUGUUUGGUUAUUUUUGUGGUGUGGACAAUGCUCUUGUUUCUGUCAUUCGGAGACUAUUACAGAACGGUUUUGUUUUUGUUUUGAUCUUCACAGUCCCAGAGCCUUUGGCCGAUGUUGGUGUUCUGAGGAACUGGUUAUGCUCAACAGCAAAAGACCAAAGCCCAGCUCUGAGCACCGGGCCAUCUCCUGGCUGUCAGAAGCUGCUUUGCUCUUGC